rnacentral:rRNA from 1 species
GGGCGUAAGCGCAUGCAGGUGGUUCAUUAAGUCAGAUGUGAAAGCCCGGGGCUCAACCUCGGAACUGCAUUUGAAACUGGUGAACUAGAGUGCUGUAGAGGGGGGUAGAAUUUCAGGUGUAGCGGUGAAAUGCGUAGAGAUCUGAAGGAAUACCAGUGGCGAAGGCGGCCCCCUGGACAGACACUGACACUCAGAUGCGAAAGCGUGGGGAGCAAACAGGAUUAGAUACCCUGGUAGUCCACGCCGUAAACGAUGUCUACUUGGAGGUUGUGGCCUUGAGCCGUGGCUUUCGGAGCUAACGCGUUAAGUAGACCGCCUGGGGAGUACGGUCGCAAGAUUAAAACUCAAAUGAAUUGACGGGGGCCCGCACAAGCGGUGGAGCAUGUGGUUUAAUUCGAUGCAACGCGAAGAACCUUACCUACUCUUGACAUCCAGAGAAGCCAGCGGAGACGCAGGUGUGCCUUCGGGA